CCGGUGUGUAACCAGAUAGCUUUCUAAGACCUCUGUUAGCAAGAAGGGUUUGGUGUGCAGGCACCAAUCCUAAUAUUACGGGAGCUCAGAGGUCUUUGAGUGCAGAGCAAAUAGCUUUUAAGAGCAAUGCCAAUUGCUAAAAGGAUCAUAUUACAAUAAUAGAUUUGAAAGCUUAUACUCCAAACAGCAUUGCGAAUGAGAGCUGACAACAGAGAUGAAUUUUGUGAGCUGCUAGGAGCAGAGCAGGACUUGCUUAUUGCACUAAUGAAUGUGGCUUGUGGGAAAGCUGACACCUCAUUGAAAUCAGGCCUCUCAAUCACCCAUGAUUACUGUGGGACUCAGAAGGGAUGCAGAAGCAGCUACACGAUGCUGGAUGAGGUAAGCAGAAGGCACCGGAAGCUAUAAAAAUGAAAAGAGAUGGAUGGAUAAUUCUGACAUUCUCAGCCUCAGUCUGGAGAGGGAUCUGGAAGGAGCUGGGAGCCUGCUCAGCUGCUGCUUGACGGACUGCUUUUCAUCCAUUUUGAGAGGAAGCCUCAGAAGCUGAGCUCUCGGUAUUUUUCAGAAUGCUUGUGCUUUUGGGGAUUCCUAGUGCUUUUAUUUACUGUUUCAGAAUAUUUGCAUUCUGGCUUGCAUGUGGCAUAUGCAUUGGAAGUAGCUUGAAAUCCUGGAGGUUUCUUUACCUGCAUGCCUAAAUACAGCAGCACCUUGCUUGGCAGACUGAAGAAAAGAUUGAGAGUGUUUUGGCUGUAAUUUCUGACCAUGGUCAAAUCAAGACCUCGGUUUCCUCAAUCACAGACUCCUCAUUGGGACCACACUUAAGCAGCAACAGUUUAUGUCUCUAAAACAGAAGAGCUAUUAUCAACUAAGGUUAAGAUAUAUUCGGUCAGUUGGGUUCUGGUUUGGGGACGUUAUGGAUGUCAUGUAAAAUGAAGUACUGACAAAAUAGCACAGCAAUGAAAUUCUAUUUGUAAGUCCACUGGUUUCCAAACAACUGCUAAUGGCAACUUCUUUCUGGACCUCAUCAGAGCGGAAAUGGAGGACGAAGUGAGGUGCAAGGGAGCAUGUGGCCCAGAAGAGGCAUACAAAUCCUGCCUACACACUCUAUGUGAACAGCCGGAGCUGACUCACGGGCAGCACAGGAUGAGUAUGUUCUGCAGCAGAUGCCACUCUGUGCUGUAUCCCGUGGCUUUCGUAUUUUACAAACAUCCUGCUGCCUCUCAAAUGUCUGUAAGAAUGGUUUUGAAAAUGUAAGCCAAAGAUAAGCAAUGCAAAGGUGUCUGCUUGAGUCCACAGGCAGGCAGAGCAAGAUCUUCAAAGGUCUGAAUGUUUGCCAUUCAUCUUAAUGGCAUGUUAUUACUAAAGUCAUGCAGCAAUACACGGGUUAGGGUUGUUAACUAUUUCAUUGCAGGGUAAAACUUGAAAGGAAAUGUUAAAUUGAUGAAUAGCCUGUAGGUAUACUUUAGUCAUUCUCAAUGCCAUCUCGUUUUGGCCUUAAAUUGCAGUAACAUUUUUAUCUGAGCUUCGUACUUGCAUUAUAAAGAACUGUCUAGAAAUUAUUUCCAGACUGAAUUAGCUGGUAUUCUGACUGUGAUGCUGCUUACCUGACCGUCUAUCUUUACAUCACAAUUUGGCACUUCUGUGACCAUCAGUUUAUAAGAUUCAAGCUUCUGAGGAGAGCAAGUGGGGCAAAUCUUACAUGAUAACGAAGAUCAGCAAGAGCUACACAAUUAAAUUAAGACAGAAAAGGUUGAUGUGUUGUGUCUUGGCAAUUCUGCAAGUUCUGAGACAGAUGCUGUCAUCUAUUUAACUGAGGGAAGCAAAUGUCCCUUCUCCAACUAAAUGUAAAGUGGAGGGGGACCCCGAGUCAAGUAGAAAUUUACAGUAUAUCUACCAAAUUAUUUUUCCUAAGUGGGGCACUGCUGGGACUGCAAAAGAGCUUUUAAAGUCAAACUCAUUUUAUUAUAACAGAAACUGGAUCCUGUAGCUUUUUUAACAGAUAAAAUUUUGCAGCAUUUGGAAACAGAAUUCCUUCUCACCCACUGUGUCCUGGCAGAAAGGGUCCCUUUUUCGGGCUUCCUCCCAGUUCAGCAGCUCGGGAACUUUCUGUAUUGCACCAAAGCCUCCUCUGAGAAAGAUCCCUGAGACUCUAGGAAAUAUCUUUUGUCCCAUCACUGAGGCCUGGCUGUGUGUCUGCUCUUCUCAGCAGUUUGCCUGUCUCUGCCUGUGAUGCGGGCUCUGUGCCUGCUGAGUUCUCCUCAUAUCCUCACAGGAGUACUCCCACAUUUGACUCAGCAAUUAAUUAUUUUAAUUUUAUUGCUGUUUAACUGAAUUCAUAGACUAUACACUAUCUAAAAAAAUCGUGUGGAAAAUGAGAGAGGCUGAUUAGAGAGGAACUAUCUGCAGGGUGAGAGGAGAGGAAGCUGAAGGCUAUGAACUGUCAGAUGAAGGGAAUUUUAAGACUAGCUUGGCACUGAGUGUCUGUGGUGAAAGAAUAUCACGAAGAGCAGUCUCCAGCCAAGUCUUUGGGGGCUGGUUUCUUUGUUCUUCUUUGCUUUAGUGCAUAAUCCCAUAAAAACUGUACGUGGCAUUACUGAAAGAAAUGACCCAUGAAGAAGAUUGGUAUGGCUGUCAGAAACAGACAAAACAAUGAAGAUCUUUGGAAAGAGCUAUAGGAGAUCGGGUAGGAAGAGCUACGAGAAGUACAGAAAUAUCAAGCAUUGGCAGAAAGAGAAACAUGAAUGAAAAGAGAGAAACUGUACACGAUAAGGUGUUGCUUUGUAGUAAUGUUGGAAAUACAGUAAUAUAUUCCAACCUCUGCACAGAGUCUUCAAGAAAGGUAAGUCACACACAGGAAGGAAAUUAUCAGCUAUAUAUGCCUCAACAUGAGAAUUUAACUCUUCUCACAGGCACCUUUUCCUUUUAAUGAACAAAAUACAGAUUUACUCUAAACAUAACAGUUUUGAACAAGUAUGUCUAAAGCCUCAUUUGUUUGCUGGGCAUAUCCCUUCCUACAGAAGAAUGUGCAAAAAGUAUUUUCAUAUUUAACUUGGACAAUAUUCUAAUUAAAAUAUAUAUGUAUAUAUUACUCUUAGCUAGAGGGAUGAAACUACACAAAUAGCUUUCAUUUCUUUUGCUUUUGACAGGACUGCCUGCCUAGCAAAUUGAGUGGAUACUUCGGUCAGUGCACCUUGAGCUCCAGGAGGCUGUGCAAAGCAGAGCCCCAGGUAGUCCCCUGGUAACAGCAGGCCUGAGGCCGUGCAGCUGCCGGAGUAGAUGCCACACCAACAGGGCUCUCAUCACGGCAGGGAAACCAGGCUGCUGGCAGUGUGUGACAGGGGGAUGCUCUGAGCACAAAGGUGCAACGCAGUGCCCUGCCUGCUGGGUUGGAAUCCCAGGCAGACAAGUGUCACGCUGCAGGACAUUUCUCGGAGAAGAGGGAGGGGUGUGGUUAUCGUUGUCAUUUCACCGUAGCAGAUAGAACGCUGUCUGGAGACACCGCCCUUGCUGGAAAAUUGAUUAAGGUCUGGAUUUGGAAGCAAAAGAUCACCUCUGCUGCUUUGCUAACUGAUAAGAAGAAGUUGGUCUGUGUCUGCAGGAGGGACUUUCCCCAAAACUCUGCACCUGUGGAUACCAGCCAUCAGACACCGCCACUUCACAUGCACCUCCAGCUCUGAGGGUCAGCCGAAGUCAUCCUAGCUUGCAAGAUCCUAUCCUAUAUAAAGGACAAGAAAUAGGUGUGAGACAGGAGGCAGGAAAUGUGUCAUUUCACUAUAACUGUGCAGAAAAUGGUCAGAUGCUGUGGAUAGUCACUGGGGAAGCUGAGGGAGCCAUGCCCCUGAGCAUCCAUUCCAGCACAGCUCUAAAGGAGUCUAUGGCUGAGUUGCUUGGGAGGCAACACACCUAGCACAGAGAUACACACUUCUGCCAAGGAAGUCCUUCAGUCUUAGGAACUCCUAAAGAUCCACCUGACUUGAACAUCUUUUGCCUUUGUGGUGGAACUCAGCUGCAGAUCAUGGCAGGGAUCUUCACCAGCUUGACACAUUCACCAAAAGAAGAACAAUCUGAGCUAAUAAAAGAAGGAAAUGAAUUAGGAAGCAAUUUGUUGAACUGGAUUUUAUUCUUUACUAAAACUUAAAUCUUGUUUGAUCGGACUUUUGUUUUUAUUGCCUUGGUCUCAGCCUUUUUGCUGUGAUUUUAACAUUUCCUUUUUGGCUUUUGUAGCCUUCAUCCUGAUGUACAGAAUUCAGAAUAAAGGUGAGUUUAGUUAUCCCAUGGGGACAUACGAAGGAAAGACAAAUCAAACUGAACGAGAGCCUUGGUAGAAAACGCAGCGUAUCUAACAAUGCAUAAUUGGCAACAGAAAACGUGUCAGAUGGGAUUUGUUUGGAGAAGAACUUCCAAAGAAGGCUGAGAGCCAAGCUGAAGUAGUCACCUAAAGUUACUUUAAGAUUUAUGUGCUGAUGAUAGACUGUGGGGCAAAGCAUUCACACGGGGAAGGCCACGCUCACUAGUUCACUUGGUCAAUUCUCAAUAAAGAAUUACCAGCCCUGAGUGAUAUUGCUUGGAACAGGUAUCUACCAUUAAAAUUUUAAAAACACGGAAUAAAAUGCAGAUCAUCGUGAUGUAGAUCUUACAGCUCCAGGAUGAUGCUAAAACUACACUCUAUUUGGCUAUGGUAACACGUCCAAUUCUCAUCUGCUUCAGACAGAAAAUGUUUAUAGAAAAAUAACUGAGCAAGGUUAAUCAGAACGUACUCAAACUUUUCUGUCUUAUCAACAAAAUCUUUGUAAAGGUAUUCAAACAGUGGGUUGCUUUCCAGAGAGAAUAAACAGCAAGGUAUCAAUAGCAGAGCUUGUAACAUGCUAUGACCUGAUAGCAGCCUUUCAAUAUCUAAAAGGGAGCUACAGGAAAGAAGAGACAGACUCUUUAGCAGGGUGUGUGGUGGUAUAACAAGGGCAAAUGGUUUCAAGCUUAAAGAGGGUAGAUUUAGGCUGGAUACAAGGAAAAACUCUUUUACUGUGGGGGUGGUGAGGCACUGGAACAGGUUGCCCAGUGCUGUGGUUGAUGCUCCAGAAAGACUGUCAAGGAGAGGCUGGAUCAGGCUCUGAGCAACCUGAUCUAGCUGUGGUGUCCCUGUUCAUUGCAGGGGAGUUGGACUAGAUGGCCUUUAAAGGUCUCUUCUAACUCUGAGGAUUCUAUGACUCUAUGCAGGCUAUGCAGUCUAAGCUGCUACAAAAUAAAGAAAUAGCUGCUCAUUUGGGGAUGUCAGUGAGAGAUCAGCAUAGCGUUGUUGGCAGGCGGGGAAUGCGUUGUUCAAACAGAGAGAGAAAUAAUAAGUCAAGAUACGUGCAAUGUUUCAUCUUUUCUAUUCCCUGUACUCAGGAUUAACGCUUUCAUGUAUGGAAUAUGCUAGAAGAUGGGGAUAAGGUGGCAGAUGAAAUUCAUUAAUGAGAGACACAAGCCAGGGGACAGAUAGAACAUGAUAAAUUGGUCUCCUUGUGCAGAACACUGAUUACUAAACCAUGAUGACUGCUCCGAAAGUAAUGCAUCCUGUUUUAUUAUAUUGGCCCAUUAUAUCAGAGGCAAAUGUUGGUAGUAUGGCAGUAGAUGCUGAACCUCCCCACCAAUAUUCCAUUAUAUUUUGUUGCUGUAAGACAGAUGGUGGUAGAGGGACAGUCUGACAAAAUGGCAUCUGACAUGGAAGUGUGUAUAAAGCAAAGGGGCGGGAACUGAAUUCCUCCUUGUGAAAAAAAUAGCACUCAGCAGUGGCAACAGUGACAGUGGGUCACCUCCACCAGUGCAGAUGUUUACAAGCAUGAAAUGCAGGCUCUGGUUCAUUGCUGGUGAAGAUGCAUAGCAAAUGGUGGUGACUGUGUUGAAAAAGUGCUUUGUAGCUGAGAAUUUACUCUAUCAAGUACUGUUAUUGUGCUCCUUGUAUCCAUUGUUGUUUACAUGGAAAUAAAUAGGAGGCAUUACUUUCAGAGAUACCUAUAUAUGUACUUCUUGCUGCUUAGGGAAGAGAUCUUGGGGUCACUGUGGUUAACGCUCCAAAAAUGGUUAUGGAUGACUCAGAGAAAGUCAGAAAGAUUCUAAGAGAGAAGAGUGAAACAAAAACAAUCGUUUCACUGUCUGAAUUUAUCAUCCACCUACACUGUGGUUAUUGCAGGCAGUUCUGUUCCCCAGCCUCAGAAAGGACUGUCAAGUGAAAGAAAGGUUAGGGAAAGCUACAGGAUGAUCAGAGCUAUGGAAUGUGAGGGGAAAGUAGAGAGACUGCAGUUUUUUGUGUUUUGGUUUCUUUUUUAUCUUGAAAAAGAGAGAAUUGUGAGGAAAUGUAAUAGCUAUAAAACCAAGACAGCGGGGGAGGAGAUAGAUAGGAAGCACUUACUCAUUACAACCUGCAUCAGAAAAACUAGAAUUAUCAGGCAGUAUUAUUGGUUUAAAUCAUUACACACAGAGCACAAUUGUGCUGUGGAAUUCAUUCCCACAGGAUGCCAUGGCAGACAAAAAUAAAUUAAGUCACAAGAAAAUACCAGACAAUUUACAGGGAAUACCUCAAUCAAGACCUUAUUAAUGCAAUAUGCCCUCUCCUGAUCCAGAAAACCUCUAGCUGCUGAUGGCUGGACAGGUACAUCAGAGAAAAAAUCACCUCAUUCAUGAUGCUUUUGCUCUAUCUCUACUCAUCUGCUAUGGACCACAGUCAGAAAUAGGAUGCUGGGUCAGACGGACUGGUACAGAUGACCAUAUUGCCCAGGCUUGCACUUGCUGUGUGAUCUGGGUAACAGGUCACAAUGCCAUCAGAAAGUGAGCAUUAUGUAUAAGAGCUGAGUUUUCCAAAGAAACUGCAGCCAUUAACGGAGCAUUAAGUUGACCAGAAGUGUCAGUAAUAAUAAAAUUAAAUACAGAAGUAAAGUCAUGCUUUUACAAGUCUUUAGAAAUAAUAGUAACCUCAUUCAAUCAACAGAAGAUUGAUUCAUUGGAUACCUGCUUUCCUUGCCAGGUUCUUUUUUCCCUUUGGGAGUGCAGAACAAAUAUAAGAAACCAAUCAUCAGGGUCCUUAAUUUACACCCAAAUUAAAGAAACAUCAUUUAUUACAAGGAGGAGUUAUUGCUCCACUCAAGGUGGGAAUGUGAAACUUUUUAAAGCCAGUGACUUUUUACAGUUCAGUCACAAAACCACUUCCCACAGGGUGUCUGCUAGGUGGCCCUCAUGGUGCUUUGCUGCAAGAAAAGCUCCCACGCAAAGGAACAGAUUGAGGUACUCUGUGAAAGAGUGAAAAACCCGUAGCUUUUGUCUCAGUGUAUAAAAGCUCUUCCUAAUUCUAUUUCAAGACAGAUGAACUUUUGAUAAAUAAUAACCCAUCUGGGUUCUGCAAAUGCCUUGAUAGCCAUAGAGUGAGUGCCUACCAUAGCACAGGUCUUUCUAGACAAUGCUACAGAGGCCCCUCCCCCAUAGAACAGUGAGUAUCAGCACCCGAUGGGGACAUAAUAUUUACUGUGGGUAUUGUAUGGUAACUGUUGAGUCAGGGCCUGAACCACUGAUUCAGCACCUGGGAAAGGACCCGGUCAGCCCUGGGAGCACAGGUGAAGGCAAUUCUGCUGUGUGACCAGAAGGGGUGGAGCCUCUCUUAGACCUCAUUUAAGGGCUGACCCCUACUAGGAGGGAUUUCUGGUUGGAGAUCUUUUCUUUGUGGAGCUUUCCCUGGGAGCCUUGAUGCGCAAAAAUUGGUUGCUUUGUGCCAGUUGCAUGUCCAGCAGCAAUGACUCUGUGCUCCCCACGCGCCUCCCUUCAGCAUGAGUUUCCUUACUACGUGCUCAGGGACUUGCUCUGCGCUAACAGGAAGGACUGAUCCGCUGCCCAGGUGAAUAUUGAGGCAUCUUUGCAGCACAGAAUGCUUGCGGCACAGCACAACUUUGGCUUGUACUCUGAUUCCUUGGCCAUCAGCAGAAGACAGGCAUAACUUGGAAGCAAGGCUUGACUGGUGCGGUACCACUAUUUCCAGCCAAGCAGGCAGCACAGUGGUUUACUGGAAGUGGUGUUUGCCCCUUUGCACCCCAAGCACUUUCUGAAAAACUCACAUUUAAAUUCGUCAGCCUGGAAGCAUCCAAUGGGCUUAGAAGCUGUGGCUAAGGAGGAUGGAUGAGCGUGCAUGAGGCUGAGCACCGGACUGUAUCAUCCCCUUUGGAAAACUGGCUGCAACCAGAGGGCUAGGGAAGUUGGGAGAAAAAUCUGCCUUGAAAACAAAUGAUAUGCCACGUCUUUGGAACCACACAGAAAACACAAUGAGCAUGCAUUGCUUGGUGAUAAAGGUGUGGAAUAGUGCUAGGAGAAUGAGUGAAGCAGUUACUGUGCAAUUUUAGUUCAUUUUCUGUGUAAGGACAGCAGUAAGAGGAUGGCUCAUAGAUAUACCUGCUGGGAAGAGCCGAUGAGCUACUGCAGAAUAAGCUGCAGUGGUGUAGCAUUAAGUCAGCUCUGCUCCAAACAGGGCCAGGUAGCACUGCACCACACGCCAAAGGAGCCCUAUCUACACUAGGAUUCAUGCUUUGCACUGUUGUUAGCAACAGAAAGUUUUUGCUGGAAAAAAUAAAAUCAACAAAGGCACCAUCUAGAAUUGUAUCCAUUAUGUUUUUGCAAAUGAUCUAAGUUCUCUUUAAAGGCCAGGCACAUGGGACCAAAUAUUUAGAGAGGUUCUUAGUGUUAAAAAUAAAUACACAUCAGUGCAUAGCACGUACAAGAGAAUUAGUUAGCUAACUUUUAUUGUAUAUAUACCAUUAUAUGAUUUACUUGUUGAGUAAAUCAUUUGAAUGAGCAAAUUCAGGUGCAAGCCUGCAGCGAAGCUCGGUGCUUAGAAAGCUUGGCUGCCUGUCUGUCUGUCCCUUUCUCUGGGGAAUGCAGACGUAUCUCUGGAGCAGGCAGACUGUCACAAGGCACUGGGAAAACUGCUUUUGACACCUGUACUCGGAAAACAUUGUUUUCCUUGGUGUGAAGUAUAGUUUGCUUUUAGGGAUGCAAGGAUGCAAGAAAUGUUUUUCAUCAAAUUAAGAAAAAUGAAGGCGCUUCUGUAGCAGACUAAUUAGAUAUCUAUCUAAAAUAAAUGUUUUUUUUAACGCCUGAUUUCUUUUUUAAAUAUAUAAAUACCAGCUAGUGGUUUAAAGCUCCUGUAGUUGUGAAUGGCUCUGCUGUCCCACACUGCAAGCUAAGUUUUUAUUACUUCUUCACAAGAAAUUUAUUUUGCUGACAUGGGCCCUAAUCCAGUAAAGUGUUAAAACAUAUGCUUAAUUUUAAGCAUGCGAGUAAAGCCAACAGCACAAAUUUAAGCACAAAUUUAUGUUUGGUCUAGCUGGGGCUAUAAUUUCUGGGUUACGGUCUUGAGGAUUGUGUGCUUUUCUUAGAAUAAGCACCCUCCUGAAGGAAAAAGAAGACGGUCAUGUUUUUUUAAGGUAUUAUGUUAUUUAUCAGAAGAUCUUGCAAAGAAAUGCACAAACGAGGAAAUGCUGAAAAUUUUGGGACAUCAAUGAGUUCUUUUAAAUAUGGAAGUCAUGCAAUCCGAUGAAAAUUCCCAUCACUCUCCUCCUCAACUUCCACAUGUUGUUGUGGUAGCUGAACACAUCAGGGGCAUGAGCUGGUUGUUUCAUGACUGACCAGCCAGCUGCCUCAGGAAUUCCUCCUGAUACUUUUCACGUAGAGAAAGCCUUAUUUUUUGCAUGGGCUCUUCUAGCCAGGUUGAGUAUUUGAGCUAAGAGAAGGGGUGAUCUUCCUUACUCCUAGUGAGCUGGUGAAGAGUUGGAAGUUUAGUAUUUCUUAAUAAUUUGCUCGGUGAUAUCAAAAUGUUAUUAGCUGUGGAUAUAUACAAGUGACCUUUUCUUAGGGAAGAUAAAAGCCUCAGAGAUGAUGAGUGAAUCAUAGCUCAAAUGGAACCUGAAAGUCACAGAGGUCAAACAGGAAUUUGGUGAUUUUGAUGUAGAGAACAGAGGAUGGCUGGCUGCACAGUGAGUUGGGUUCCUGCAAUUUUCAUCCUGCUGGCAGUCUCCGGCAGACCUAGGACAGAGUGGACCAGCAAUCUGAGCUGCCUUCUCCUUACACAGGCUUGCAUGAGAUCUGGGAUGAAACAAACUGGUGUGGUGUGUAUAUGCUUACAGGAGUGAUUCUGUUUCAUUACACUGGUGAGUUUUCUGCAGAAAUGGCAAAGCCAGUGCUUCUCUACCUUGAAAUAAACUGUUUCUAAUAUAUGCCAGCAUUAGAAAACUGCAAGGUACCUUUUUUUUUUUUUUUUUUUUUUUUUUAAAUGCAGGACGGCUUAAAGGCUUUGUGUGUUCCAUUUGUACCAUGCAAGUUGUCAAGCACCACAGCUGAACGGAAGAAAGAAUGUGGGGAAUCUCUGCUAAGCUUUAGUUUUACAUACUUAAGAGCAGGCACAGGAUUUGUUCAGAGUUUUAUUAUCGGGUGAGGAGUUAAGGUAAUUACAGCAGCAAGGCAGAAGGCCAAAAGAUGAUGAAGAAGUCUAAUACCAGGCACCAUUUAGGUUUAGAGUGUACUGUGGGUUAUUUUUUAAAAUAUACUAGCCACCUACUGAUGACCUCCUCCUGGGGAAAUUUAAACACAAUUUAAUUAUUGCACCUCAUGUGUUAACAUUUACAAUAAGAUUAAGGGCACUGCAGUUUACACUCUAGUGCUCGCACUUACACAGUGUGUAAAGAGAAGGGAUUUGACUGAAGUCAGGGAGACAGAAGAGGUUAAAAUCAGUAGCUGGAAAAUGAAAGAGCUGUAAGGCAUUCUGCAUGUUUGUUACUAUACUAUACUAUGCAAGUAUUAAAAACUUAUUUGAAUAUGGAACGGGAAAGUCAUUUGUUUGGACUUCAAGGUAGGUUUCUUGCAAGUUACACCUGUUCAGAAGACCAUUCUUUGCCUAAGGUUUCAACACAGUGUAAACUACAAGCAAGUGGUUGAGAG
ensembl:lncRNA